rnacentral:rRNA from 1 species
GCUGAUGCGUUGUUGGGUAGGGGAGCGUUCUGUAAGCCUGCGAAGGUGACCUGUGAGGGUUGCUGGAGGUAUCAGAAGUGCGAAUGCUGACAUAAGUAACGAUAAAGCGGGUGAAAAGCCCGCUCGCCGGAAGACCAAGGGUUCCUGUCCAACGUUAAUCGGGGCAGGGUGAGUCGACCCCUAAGGCGAGGCCGAAAGGCGUAGUCGAUGGGAAACGGGUUAAUAUUCCCGUACUUGGUGUUACUGCGAAGGGGGGACGGAGAAGGCUAUGUUGGCCGGGCGACGGUUGUCCCGGUUUAAGCGUGUAGGUGUGUGUUCCAGGUAAAUCCGGUUCACUUUAACACUGAGGCGUGAUGACGAGGCACUACGGUGCUGAAGCAACAAAUGCCCUGCUUCCAGGAAAAGCCUCUAAGCAUCAGGUAACAUCAAAUCGUACCCCAAACCGACACAGGUGGUCAGGUAGAGAAUACCAAGGCGCUUGAGAGAACUCGGGUGAAGGAACUAGGCAAAAUGGUGCCGUAACUUCGGGAGAAGGCACGCUGACACGUAGGUGAAGUGAUUUACUCACGGAGCUGAAGUCAGUCGAAGAUACCAGCUGGCUGCAACUGUUUAUUAAAAACACAGCACUGUGCAAACACGAAAGUGGACGUAUACGGUGUGACGCCUGCCCGGUGCCGGAAGGUUAAUUGAUGGGGUCAGCGCAAGCGAAGCUCCUGAUCGAAGCCCCGGUAAACGGCGGCCGUAACUAUAACGGUCCUAAGGUAGCGAAAUUCCUUGUCGGGUAAGUUCCGACCUGCACGAAUGGCGUAAUGAUGGCCAGGCUGUCUCCACCCGAGACUCAGUGAAAUUGAACUCGCUGUGAAGAUGCAGUGUACCCGCGGCAAGACGGAAAGACCCCGUGAACCUUUACUAUAGCUUGACACUGAACAUUGAGCCUUGAUGUGUAGGAUAGGUGGGAGGCUUUGAAGUGUGGACGCCAGUCUGCAUGGAGCCGACCUUGAAAUACCACCCUUUAAUGUUUGAUGUUCUAACGUGGACCCGUAAUCCGGGUUGCGGACAGUGUCUGGUGGGUAGUUUGACUGGGGCGGUCUCCUCCUAAAGAGUAACGGAGGAGCACGAAGGUUGGCUAAUCCUGGUCGGACAUCAGGAGGUUAGUGCAAUGGCAUAAGCCAGCUUGACUGCGAGCGUGACGGCGCGAGCAGGUGCGAAAGCAGGUCAUAGUGAUCCGGUGGUUCUGAAUGGAAGGGCCAUCGCUCAACGGAUAAAAGGUACUCCGGGGAUAACAGGCUGAUACCGCCCAAGAGUUCAUAUCGACGGCGGUGUUUGGCACCUCGAUGUCGGCUCAUCACAUCCUGGGGCUGAAGUAGGUCCCAAGGGUAUGGCUGUUCGCCAUUUAAAGUGGUACGCGAGCUGGGUUUAGAACGUCGUGAGACAGUUCGGUCCCUAUCUGCCGUGGGCGCUGGAGAACUGAGGGGGGCUGCUCCUAGUACGAGAGGACCGGAGUGGACGCAUCACUGGUGUUCGGGUUGUCAUGCCAAUGGCACUGCCCGGUAGCUAAAUGCGGAAGAGAUAAGUGCUGAAAGCAUCUAAGCACGAAACUUGCCCCGAGAUGAGUUCUC